AACGAAGAGGUAUCGUAAUUGAAGAGGUUUGGAAAGACCCACCACAGAAGGUAAUAGUCCUGUAUGUUAAACGAGAAGACUUUAGAUAUGAUCCAGAGUACCACGGGACACGUGAAACCCUGUGGGAAGCAGGAGGGACCACCCUCCAAGGCUAAAUACUACCUAGUGACCGAUAGCGUAUAGUACCGUGAGGGAAAGGUGAAAAGAACCCCGGGAGGGGAGUGAAAUAGAACCUGAAACCCUGCACUUACAAGCUGUGGAAGCACAUUUCUUGUGUGACCGCGUACUUUUUGUAGAACGGGCCAACGAGUUACGUUAAGUAGCAAGGUUAAGCACUUAAGGUGCGGAGCCGUAGCGAAAGCGAGUUUUAACUGAGCGUUCAGUUACUUGACGUAGACCCGAAACCGGGCGACCUACCCAUGAGCAGGAUGAAGCGAAAGUAAAAUUUCGUGGAGGUCCGAACCCACGAGCGUUGAAAAGCUCGGGGAUGACUUGUGGGUAGCGGUGAAAUUCCAAUCGAGCCCGGAGAUAGCUGGUUCUCCCCGAAAUAGCUUUAGGGCUAGCCUCAAGGUGAGAGAUACGGAGGUAGAGCACUGAAUGUCCUAGGGGGUAUUGCACCUACCGAAGACUAUCAAACUCCGAAUGCCGUCAUCUUAUACUUGGGAGUCAGACUGUGGGUGAUAAGAUUCAUAGUCGAAAGGGCAACAGCCCAGAUCGUCAGCUAAGGUCCCUAAAUGUAAGUUAAGUGGUAAAGGAUGUGGGAUUGCACAGACAACCAGGAUGUUGGCUUAGAAGCAGCCACUCAUUCAAAGAGUGCGUAAUAGCUCACUGGUCGAGUGAUCCUGCGCCGAAGAUUUCCGGGGCUAAAACUUACUACCGAAGCUACGGCAUCAGUAAUGAUGGGUAGGGGAGCUUCCCAUACGGGUUGAAGCAUGACCGUAAGGACAUGUGGACAGUAUGGGAGUGAGAAUGUUGGCAUGAGUAGCGAGAUGUGGGUGAGAAUCCCACAGGCCGUAAACCCAAGG
rnacentral:rRNA from 1 species